UCUUCUCCCUGUCAUGUCCUUCCCCAGUUUUGGUGGUUGUGAAGUUGGUGAGACUGCUUUUAAAGCCACAAUUGACAAAACCAAGGAACUGACUAAGGUUAAAAUUAGCUCUUAAAUAAGCAAAUAAAAACCAGUAGCUUUGCUCCGGAGUCAGCUAUCCAUGGACUCAUCACUUCUACAGUGAGUAUGGCAUAUUCUCUACAGUCCUACCACUGCUUCCAGUCUGAUAUGUAUAAACUGCUGAUGACCUUAGUUUAUAUUUUGAACUGAGGAGAAUAGGGAGAAGAUAUAUAUCUUUGCACUGCAUGCUCCUGCAGUGCUGGGAUUAACAGUCUGUGGGGAAGGCUUGAGGAAGGAAGAGAAAUCAACCACUGGAACUGAAGUUCCUUGUGAUGGUGAGUCAGCAUUCUUGAGCUUCAAGUAGCAGUGUGCCUCUGGUUCCAUUUAUUACAUGUUUAUUUUUCCUUUUCAUAACUAGUAGUAUGAAAAUGAAAUUUCAAAUUCUGGAGGGCAGUUUUGUGGUAAGGGCUUGCCUAGAAGGCCAAGGAAAGUUGCUCAGUAAAUUGAGUAGGAGUCUGUAGUUGGUUGGUUCUGCAAAUAUUUUAUUUCCUAUCACUUCAGAAUAAUUCUAACUUGGCACUGUGUAGUUUUUGCCAGACUUUUCCUUUAGAGCAAUGAGAUCAAAUUUAUCCUAAGCCACUUGGUUGUGGUUCUGUACUAGUUUCAAUACAAUCAAUAAUAAUCAAGUAAUUAUUCUUUCUCACUCUCAUGACUAAUCAGUAAUCUUUUUUUUCUCAUUAUUACCUUUACAUGAGAAACUUCAGCCACUUAUACAUUUCUCAGGCAUCAGAAGUUCCUGUUACUGUCCACAAUAGGGCUCCCACAGCAUCAAGGAUGCCCUUCACUCAAGGCUGCCCUUUGCUCAAGGAUGUCCUUCAACAAGGACAGCUGAGACAAACUGACCCAGGAAUAAUCCAUAAACUAAUACAUCUGUUCAGAAUAAAAGGCCUCAAGCUCUACCUUGCCUACAGCGCAUAUUAUAUGUGUUAUCCAAAAUUAAUAUCCGAUUAGUCCAUUAUACCACUUCAAAAUAGCAUAUGAAAAUCACUUUUCAGCCUAUAAUAUCAUGUGUCUCAUGCAGACACAUGAUAUUAUUACUUAUCACUCUGCAUAUUGAAGU